AUGUCGUGAUGAGGGCACUUUCGUAGUAACUUCUUGAACCGCCCCCAUGCCUCAUAUAAAGAUUCUUCAUCAAGUUGUUGAAAUGAAGUGAUUUCAUUUCGGAUCUU
rnacentral:snoRNA from 1 species